rnacentral:rRNA from 1 species
UACGUAGGGUGCAAGCGUUUAAUCGGAAUUACUGGGCGUAAAGCGUGCGCAGGCGGUUUUGUAAGUCUGUCGUGAAAUCCCCGGGCUCAACCUGGGAAUUGCGAUGGAGACUGCAAGGCUAGAAUCUGGCAGAGGGGGGGUAGAAUUCCACGUGUAGCAGUGAAAUGCGUAGAGAUGUGGAGGAACACCGAUGGCGAAGGCAGCCCCCUGGGUCAAGAUUGACGCUCAUGCACGAAAGGCGUGGGGAGCAAACAGG